rnacentral:tRNA from 1 species
UCUCUCGUAGCUUAGUGGUCAGAGCAUUGCUACGUAAAGCCGAAAGUCUCGGGUUCGAUCCUCGGCGAGGGUA